AUGGGGGCAUCUGUGGAAGACGCUCCCGUGGCUGCGCGUGGGAGACCUGGGGAUGCCAGGACAUACCUCCCUCAGUGCGCGGCUCUUGGGACGCCAGAAGCAGUGUCUAGGGUCAGAGAGGCCACGGUGGAGACCCCUCCCGGCCCCACUGCAGAGGGAGCUGGCACGGAGAUCAAACCAGGUGCAGAUACCGGGUGGUCGGCCUGCUGGCGUGGACCCUGCCCACGUGAGGACAGAGGGGGCUGGGAGUGGGGCUGGGCCUCUCUGGGAGAGGCCAUGGACGGACACUUGGGGGUGACCUGCCAGGAGACAGGCACGAGAGGCCAGGCAGAGGCAGUGUCAGCCGGGAGCCCACAGGGGCCUGAAUUUACGCCACGUGUUGCUGCGUAUACCAGGUCUACAGUGCUGAGGGCAGCUGGAGUGGGCACGGCUGACUCAGGGACACAUGCUGGGGUCCGCCAGGCCCAUCAGGACCCCGUGGCGAGAGGAGCAGGCAGGUGCACAGGUAUCACGAGGUCUCACUGGAGGUGCGGGGGCAGCUAUGUGGACCCACGUGGGAAUUCUGAGAACAGGUGCCCACGCUGGUGUAUUGCUAACAAGUCCGUUCACGCCCCUGCCAGGCCCAGACACCACACUGGGCACUUCGGAUCAGCUGGGCACGUGGCCCUGGCAGGCCCGGGCUGGGCGCCGCCUACACAGGUGUCCUGCAGCCAUGCACAGGCUCAGGAGCGACCAGUGGCCGCUGAGCUCACAGAGCAGCAGGGCAGGCCAGGAGGGGCCACUCUGCCCAGGAGCUGCGUGCUCCAUUCCUCAAGGACAAGCCCAGCACCAAAGGAAAGGCCCAGAAUGGGGCACCAGGAGCAGCCCUGGCCCAGAACGGGGCACCAGGAGCAGCGCUGGGCCCAGAACAGGACACCAGGACCAACCCUGGCCCAGAACAGGGCACCAGGAGCAGCGCUGGCCCAAGAAUGUGGCACCAGGAGCAGCCCUGGGCACAGAACAGGGCACCAGGAGCAGCCCUGUGCCCAGAAUGGGGCACCAGGAGCAGCCCUGGCCCAGAACAGGGCACCAGGAGCAGCCCUGGCCCAGAACAGGGCACCAGGAGCAGCCCUGGGCCCAGAACAGGACACUAGGACCAGCCCUGUGCCCAGAAUGGGGCACCAGGAGCAGCCCUGGCCCAGAACAGGGCACUAGGACCAGCCCCUGGGCACCAGGAACAGCCCUGGCCCAGAACAGGGCACCAGGAGCAGCGCUGGGCCCAGAACAGGACACUAGGACCAGCCCCUGGGCACCAGGAGCAGCCCUGGCCCAGAACAGGGCACCAGGAGCAGCCCCUGGGCAUGGAAAAAAUGGCCGGGGGAAGCCUGUGGGCAGGUGGCUCUGCACAGAGCGGGGGCGGUACCACCGGCCACUGUGCACAGCCAAACACCCCUGAUGGCCCGAGGAUGAGAACCCUGUUUCCGCUGGUUCCAGCUUCCUCCCAGAGGCCCCUGUGCCAGGGAACCCAGCCAGCUCAGCGAGGUCGCUGGAGAAGAAGCGGCGCCAUACAGAAGUUGGAGCCCCUGCCCUGCGGGGGGGAGGGUGUGCGUGUUUGCGUCCCAGGCCCCAGGGAUGGCACAGGCUCUGCUCUCCCUUUGGUGCAUCCGGUUAGAAGCCGCCAUCCUGCAGCGUGGGGUCUGUGUUCCACGCACCGGUGAUGGGACCACAGCCCUAGCCCAGCGGGUGCAGGCAGGGCUGCGCCUGGACAGGGAGUGGACGCCCAGCAGGGAUGGGGCAGGGUUCAGACUGGACACUGCCUCACUGCCCCCAACAGGAGAGAUCGCCACCUCCAGCCCCAUGGAGGUGUGGGCCGAGGCGGCUGUGGAGCGACCCAGGGAUGCCCAGGGGCUCACGAGGGCCACGUAGGAGUCCAGGGCUGCACAGAACUCCAGGGCACCUGCCUGGGGGCAGUGACUCAGCUGCCACCCCUGAGGCGACUGAGCCCACUCUCCGCAGCCCAAACCAGCGGGACCCUGCUCUGAAGCCCACGCUGUGGGCUGGGGUCGCGGCACAGCACGGUGGCUCCGAGUGACACCCCCCGCCACAUGUCAGGGACAUGCCAGGAAACUCCUCGGCCGGCUGGGACUCACGCCCGGUUCUGUGGCCUCCUGUGUGUACCCUCCCGGCCUGCCGAGGAUCCUGUGGUGUGGGAGUUCUGCAGCGCCAGCCCCUCGGCCAACCCUCCCAGGACAGACACGGCCACAGCGGAAUGAGAACACGCACGGGCUCGCUGCAGUCACCCAUGCACGGACACACACGCAGGGGUCACGUGUACGCACACACACGCUCUCAGCUACUCACACAUGCACAUUUGCACAUGCCACCUGUCACACACACACCACUCACACAGAUACAAGCAAGUGUGCACAGACUUACACACUCACCUACAUCACAUGCGCACACAUGUACUCACAUGUACACAUGCCACGCAUAUCAAUCUCACACACAUACGGGCACACUCACAUAUGCAGGCAUCACUUACACACUCACCUACAUCACACGUGCACACAUGUACUCAAGUGCACACACGCCACACGUGUCACAGACAUGGCCACCCUCACACAACAGACACACACUCACCAUCAUACCGACAUUUACACACAUCACAUGCAUAUACACGCACAGUCGCUCACGUAGACACGCCCUCACACACACUCAGGCAGGCUAUUCACACACAGACACACACACCCUGCACCCCAUAGGAGCCCACUGCCAUUUUGAAACAAAAGGGAUUUUUCUGAUGGCUUUUUCUUACCCAUUCUAAAAGGAUGACUCAUCAAUUUGAAAUAAAGAGAAUUAAGAGCAAGGCA
ensembl:lncRNA